GAAUAGGAAAUCUACACCAGAUCUUCUGACAAACUGUGAUGUUAAAUCCUUACUGAUAGUUUUGCUCAUCUAAUGCCUUGUUUGCUGAAUCCUAGCUAAGGACCUCUUUGCCACCUGGUGAAUUACUGGGGGUGCAUUAGUAGGUGUGUGGAAGAACCCCUCCUCUCCCUUGGUUUACUCAUCUUUGGGUGAGGUUUUUCUUAUCUUUCAAGAAGAUGAAAUAAAGGAAAAAUAAACCAAGUAUAAGCUGCAUCUACUAGGUAAAAAUGUUGCCUAAAUCUUCUUUUUGUUUCAGAACUUCCACUGUAUCUUUUAUUGGGUAUCUUUUGUGGCCUGGUUUCAUUGAGCUUUUCUUGGUGCACAUCGUUGAUGAUGGUGGUAACUGACAAGAUUCAGAAGACCUUUGUUAUGCCAAAGGCAGUUUUCCCUGUAGUUGGUGGUUUUACUGUUGGACCUCUAGCCUUGAUAUAUCCUGAAGUUCUGUAYUGGGGUUUCGAGAAUGUUGACACCCUCUUAGAGUCUCGACCAUUAGUGAAAGGCCUCUCUGUUGAUCUAUUAUUGCAGCUAAUAGCAAUCAAAAUAGCAGCAACGUCUUUUUGUCGUGCAUGUGGAUUAGUAGGAGGCUACUAUGCUCCAUCACUUUUUAUUGGUGCAGCUGCAAGAAUGGCGUAUGGAAGACUUACUAGUUUUAUGAUUUCUCAACUCAAUUCAAUCUUUCAUCUCUCAGGCAUAGAGGUUGCACCACCGCAAGCAUAUGGCCUGGUAUAUAUCUUUUGUUACUAUAUGAUAAGAGAAAGAUAAUAAUAAAAAAUUAUGCUUGCUGUUUCUGGAUAAUUUCUACUUCAUUGUGCUUGCUGUUUCUGGAUUAUGUUGUCAUUUGUUGUUUGGAUGGAUCAUCUAUUAACCACUGUAUUUUAC